UACAAUGGAGAGUUUGAUCCUGGCUCAGGAUGAACGCUAGCGGCAGGCUUAAUACAUGCAAGUCGAGGGGCAGCGCAGUGUAGCAAUACAUGGGCGGCGACCGGCAAACGGGUGCGGAACACGUACACAACCUUCCUUUCAGCGGGGAAUAGCCCAGAGAAAUUUGGAUUAAUACCCCAUAGUAUAUUGGUUAGGCAUCUAACUACUAUUAAAGAUUUAUCACUGAAAGAUGGGUGUGCGGCUGAUUAGAUAGUUGGCGGGGUAACGGCCCACCAAGUCUGCGAUCAGUAACUGGUGUGAGAGCACGACCAGUCACACGGGCACUGAGACACGGGCCCGACUCCUACGGGAGGCAGCAGUAAGGAAUAUUGGUCAAUGGACGCAAGUCUGAACCAGC
rnacentral:rRNA from 1 species